rnacentral:rRNA from 1 species
UACGUAGGGUGCGAGCGUUGUCCGGAAUUACUGGGCGUAAAGAGCUCGUAGGUGGUUUGUCGCGUUGUUCGUGAAAACUCACAGCUUAACUGUGGGCGUGCGGGCGAUACGGGCAGACUGGAGUACUGCAGGGGAGACUGGAAUUCCUGGUGUAGCGGUGGAAUGCGUAGAUAUCUAGAGGAACGCCAAAGGUGUAGACAGGCGACUGGGCCGAUUCUGACGCUGAGGCACGAAAGCGUGGGUAGCGAACGGG